CAACUCAUGCUGGCAGGAGAUACCAUGAUCAUGAAGGUGGUUCACCCAGGGCGAGCUCAACCAUUGCACUUCAGUUUGUGCUGACCCGUGCGGAAUUCCCCAAAUGUGGGAAUCUCGGCAUAAUUUGUGGUAAUUGGGGGACCUGCGUCGCGCUCUCCCCUG